AGGGCCUGAAUACACAGAGCGCUGAGAGAGUGGGGCAGUGUGGUCACGGACACAGGGUUCCCCCAGACCACGCUGUCCAUCCUGUUUGUCACCUACUGUGGCGUCCAGCUGGUAAAGGAGCGUGAGCGAACCUUGGCACUGGAGGAGGAGCAGAAGCAGGACAAAGAGAAGCCGGAGUAGGAGGGAGCGGGUAGAGGGAUGGGCUCUGCUCAGCUAUUCUUGGGCCAGAUGGGGCCUGACCGAUAGAAUAAAAGACUUUUCUACAAC
rnacentral:lncRNA from 1 species